rfam:Oryza meridionalis cultivar OR44 (W2112) chromosome 2, whole genome shotgun sequence.
AUACCUUUCUCGGCCUUUUGGCUAAGAUCAAGUGUAGUAUCUGUUCUUAUCAGUUUAAUAUCUGAUAUGUGGGCCAUGUGUUCACUUCGAUAUUAAAUUUAUUUUUUGUGGGGGAGGACCCACCACGGUAGCUUGCUAUCGGGGCUCUCGCGUGUCGCCCUAGCGUUGCACUACUGCUUGGGCCCGGCGCACCCCAA